AUUAUCGAGUUUCCGAACUCCCAAACCCCUGUGAACAUACCUUAUCGUUGCCUCGGCGGCGUCUCCCUCCCCUCGCGGGCGGGCGGCCCGCCAGAGGACCCAAACCCUUGAAUUUUUUUUUAGGAACCCUCUGAGUGAUACAAGCAAAUAAAAUUAAAACUUUCAACAACGGAUCUCUUGGCUCUAGCAUCGAUGAAGAACGCAGCGAAAUGCGAUAAGUAAUGCGAAUUGCAGAAUUCAGUGAAUCAUCGAAUCUUUGAACGCACAUUGCGCCCGCCAGUACUCUGGCGGGCAUGCCUGUCCGAGCGUCGCCUCGACCCUCGAGCCCCAGCGGCUCGGCGUUGGAGGUCGGCAUGCCGGGCGCUCCGCGGGGGCUCCCGCGGCCGUCUCCCAAAUACAGUGGCGGCCUCGCCGCGGCUUCCUCUGCGUAGUAACGCACCUCGCACUGGAGCCGCGACCCGGCCACGCCGUAAAACCCCCGACUUCUGAAAAGUUGACCUCGGAUCAGG
rnacentral:rRNA from 1 species